rfam:Oceanobacillus picturae, S1, WGS project CCAX01000000 data, contig: 000001
AAAUAGACGGAUGCUAUGAAGGAUUAUCUCUAUGUGGGCACUUUGAUAAUUUGGAGCAAGUAGUGCAACCGACCUGACUGUGU